GUCCCCGUAGCUCAAGUGGAUAGAGCGGUCGUUUCCUAAACGACUGAUCCGUGUUCGACUCUCGGCGGGGACACCA
rnacentral:tRNA from 1 species